CCUACGGGUGGCAGCAGUGGGGAAUAUUGGGCAAUGGGCGCAAGCCUGACCCAGCAACGCCGCGUGAAGGAAGAAGGCUUUCGGGUUGUAAACUUCUUUUCUCAGGGACGAAGCAAGUGACGGUACCUGAGGAAUAAGCCACGGCUAACUACGUGCCAGCAGCCGCGGUAAUACGUAGGUGGCAAGCGUUAUCCGGAUUUAUUGGGUGUAAAGGGCGUGUAGGCGGGAAAGCAAGUCAGAUGUGAAAACCAUGGGCUCAACCUGUGGCCUGCAUUUGAAACUGUUUUUCUUGAGUGCUGGAGAGGAAGACGGAAUUCGUGGUGUAGCGGUGAAAUGCGUAGAUAUUAGGAGGAACACCAGUGGCGAAGGCGGUCUGCUGGAGAGCAACUGACGCUGAGGCGCGAAAGCGUGGGGAGCGAACAGGAUUAGAUACCCGUGUAGUC
rnacentral:rRNA from 1 species